rnacentral:misc_RNA from 1 species
UUAAGUUCAGCGGGUAGUCCUACCUGAUUUGAGGUCAAGAUUGUCACGAGUUCAAAAACUCAAGUUGGAAGCAGCAUUCAGACAACUAAGGUGUAGACAAUUAUCACACCUGUAGAUGGUCUACAAAGGUACCGCUAAUCAAUUUCAGGGGAGCUGACUUCUAGAAGCCAAAGUCCCCCAAAUCCAAGCUACACUGAAGA